ACGGCGAGUGAAGCGGCAACAGCUCAAAUUUGAAAUCUGGCCCUCGUGGUCCGAGUUGUAAUUUGCAGAGGAUGCUUUUGGCGCGGUGCCUUCCGAGUUCCCUGGAACGGGACGCCACAGAGGGUGAGAGCCCCGUCUGGUUGGACACCAAGCCUCUGUAAAGCUCCUUCGAAGAGUCGAGUAGUUUGGGAAUGCUGCUCUAAAUGGGAGGUAUAUGUCUUCUAAAGCUAAAUACCGGCCAGAGACCGAUAGCGCACAAGUAGAGUGAUCGAAAGAUGAAAAGCACUUUGAAAAGAGGGUUAAACAGUACGUGAAAUUGUUGAAAGGGAAGCGUUUGUGACCAGACUUGGGCCCGGUCAAUCACCCGGCGUUCUCGCCGGUGCACUUGGCCGGCCCAGGCCAGCAUCAGUUCGCCGCGGGGGAUAAAGGCGGCGGGAACGUAGCUCCUCGGAGUGUUAUAGCCCGCCGCGUCAUGCCCUGUGGGGGACUGAGGUCUGCGCAUCUGCAAGGAUGCUGGCAUAAUGGUCAUCAACGACCCGUCUUGAAACACGGACCAAGGAGUCGUCUUCGUAUGCGAGUGUUCGGGUGUCAAACCCCUACGCGGAAUGAAAGUGAACGCAGGUGAGAGCCUUACGGCGCAUCAUCGACCGAUCCUGAUGUUCUCGGAUGGAUUUGAGUAAGAGCAUACGGGGCCGGACCCGAAAGAAGGUGAACUAUGCCUGUAUAGGGUGAAGCCAGAGGAAACUCUGGUGGAGGCUCGCAGCGGUUCUGACGUGCAAAUCGAUCGUCAAAUAUGGGCAUGGGGGCGAAAGACUA
rnacentral:rRNA from 1 species